GAUGAACGCUGGCGGCGUGCCUAAUACAUGCAAGUCGAGCGAACAGACGAGGAGCUUGCUCCUCUGACGUUAGCGGCGGACGGGUGAGUAACACGUGGAUAACCUACCUAUAAGACUGGGAUAACUUCGGGAAACCGGAGCUAAUACCGGAUAAUAUAUUGAACCGCAUGGUUCAAUAGUGAAAGACGGUUUUGCUGUCACUUAUAGAUGGAUCCGCGCCGCAUUAGCUAGUUGGUAAGGUAACGGCUUACCAAGGCAACGAUGCGUAGCCGACCUGAGAGGGUGAUCGGCCACACUGGAAAUGAGACACGGUACAGACUCCUACGGGAGGCAGCAGUAGGGAAUCUUCCGCAAUGGGCGAAAGCCUGACGGAGAAACGCCGCGUGAGUGAUGAAGGUCUUCGGAUCGUAAAACUCUGUUAUUAGGGAAGAACAAAUGUGUAAGUAACUAUGCACGUCUUGACGGUACCUACUCAGAAAGCCACGGCUAAAUACGUG
rnacentral:rRNA from 1 species